UUGAUAGCAUAGAGGACACACCUGUUCCCAUUCCGAACACAGAAGUUAAGCUCUAUCACGCCGAAAGUAGUUGCCGGAUCGCUGGCUGCGAG
rnacentral:rRNA from 3 species